UAAGAGCAUCACAGAGCAGCACACAAAAUACGUACACAUAUUAUGUAUACAUGUGCAAAAUUAUAUAUAUAUUUAGUGAUAACUGCACCAAUAAUUUUGAGCCUGAUAUCUUUUUUGAUAGAAGCCGUAAUAGAAGCUUUCACUUACCAUGUCUUCCAGCCAUACUGACGUAGAUGCAAAUCAGAUCACUGUGUGUCCAAGUGCUGCUUAAAAAUAUUUUGGGUUUCUUUUUAUGCAAAUACAUUUCAACAUGUUGCUUAUUAUCCUGCUGUUGACAGAAAAAGAGGAAAAGCCAUCACAGACAUCUUAGAAAACCAGAAUUUCCAAAGGGAACAGAAUAGGUACUGGUGUUCAGCUGUCCCAAUGAACUAUGAAAAAUACUCUGACAAACGCUGAAAUACUACCCAGACAUUCAGUAACAGUGUCUGACAAACAGGUCUGGUUUGUUCAUCAAAAACCAGCAAAACAAACCUAUGGCUCCAGAUUCACUGCACAGGAACUGAGUGCACAAGUUGUGUCCUUCAACAGCAUCUCUUAUAACUGCUCUACUUUAGAAGGCCUCCAUAAUAUGGAACAGGUCAAUGAAAUCAUGUAGCCUUCUGUCUCCAUGGCCUCCUCUGGUGUAACUGCAGGGAGUGACUUACCGUUCCUCCAGGAUUCUCAGUGAGGACUGGGUGCUGACUCUCCAGAUCGUGGUCUUCACAGAACUGCUUCUCAACUUCUAAUAAGGUAGAAGAACACUGGGAUCUCAUUCUCUACAGCUGCUCUGUUUUUCCAAAGGAACGAGUGAAAAAGCAAAGAGCAGAAUUAGGAUGAAUUGGGAAGCUUCCCAGGGUAAUGAAGAGUAGCACACCAUCUGUUUGAAUGGGAAAAAUAUUUGAUCAGUGAAUGUUCCUCAUCCUGCUGUGCAAUACAGAGGUAAAGGUUCUUCUAACAAAAUGAUGCUAUGUAAUCUGAGUAAUGGCAACUGAAUUGAACAGACAGUAAAUGCAAACCACCACUGACUCUUGGGACACCUAAAAUGCAACCAAGGUAUGGCCAGUCUGUCACAUAACAGCUGCGAAAAUUAUCUUUCUACCAUGGCCAGAAAUUUUCUAAAGCUAAUAAUCUGAUAAAACUUUUCUCUCUUUUAAAGAUGUAUCAGUGGGAAAUUUUUGACUAAUGGGCUGGUAAAGGACCUGAAGAAAAGGUGAUUUAGAAAUCUGUGCUAUGCUUUGAAAGGAAAGCUGAAGUACAGAGGAGCUGAAAUGGAUACAUGGAGGUUUUGUUUU